GUCGCGACCGCACCCGGCUGCCGGCGGGGAGUGCACGUGGUAGAGGACCCCGCGCCCCUAACCCCGCCGCCCUCGGGUACCAGAGACCGGAGGUGGCACCACGGUCGCGGGGACGCCUGGAACGCACAAGAGCCGGCGCGCAGGCCCCAGCGGGCGGCUCCAGUGGCGGGGGUGGAAACGGGCGUCCGGUUCUCGGCCAGAGCCCGGAGACCUCCCCGCACACGCAUCCAGGCACCCAGAAGCUCUCGGGCGACUGUCACCCGAGCAGAGCGUGUCAGCACUUAUCUGGCGGCACAAAACCACCCAUUCAGGGGCAAGAAUCGCCGCGCCCGGAGACGGGGCCCACCCACGGAUCACGAGGGGAACCCCUGGGAUCACGGGCCACGGGCCACCAGACCCCCAAGCACGACCCCCAUCGCCCACCCAGGCCCGGAGCUCCCGGGGCCAUCUGGUCGACCCCAGAAGCGUGGCGGCAGGGGGAGCCGGGGACAGCCUCCCCGGGCCGCCCGCGCGGGCCGGGACCGGUCGGUCCCUCCCUCUGAGUCGCCGGGUCAGGACUUAGAAAAGAAUUCCACGGAGGAGCCUCCGGCGACCGGGCCCGGGGCGGGACCGUGGCUCCCGUCCCUCAGCCGGGGCUCCACCUACGCCUCGAGCCGGCCCCCUCCCACCUCCGGACAAAGACGCGACCCGCGAAACUCGGAGAGAGAAGUCCGGUCCGACGGCCCGGACCCACCCCGGGCACGCGUCCCGGCCGGGGACGCCCUCCCCGGCCCGCCCUCGAGGGCUCCCGGGGCCGGUCCACGCUCUUCUCCAGGGCGGGACUUGGACAAAAAACUGCCACGGAGGAGGAGGCAUCCGAGGACCGGGCCCGGUCCCCACCGCCAGAGCCGGUCGACUCGGAAGACCAGUGGGGAAAAGGCCAGCCCGGCGGCCGAGCCCGUCGCGCCCUCCACGGGCCUCCCCCGCAAGGCCCCGGCCGGUCCCCCACCUCCGGAGCGGGGCGCGGAAAGGGGAUCGGCGACGCGGAAGGCCCGACCACCGGGCCGCCCUCAGGACGACGGCCGGGCACGGGACGAGUUCCCUCGCCCGUUCCCCCGCGGCGGCCCCCCACCCCCUCCCGGGGACGGAGGGGCACCGGCGGCUGCUGGUCGACCCGUCCGGGAGGCCCCACACCCCGGCCGGCACCGGGCGGCGCGGCGACAGCCACCUCCCUCAGUAGCCUGCACCUCCAAUCUCCGGCGAGCGGGCGUCGCGCUCACGCCCCGGCGCCACCGGGCCAGAUCCCGCCAGCGACGCCGGCCUCCCGGGACUCUGCCUCGGUCACCGCGGCCGAGUCCCGUCCCUUGGCCCGCGUCGCCGGAGCUCCGGAGGAAAGAGACGAUAUAA
rnacentral:lncRNA from 1 species